CCUACGGGUGGCAGCAGUGAGGAAUAUUGGUCAAUGUGCGAGAGCCUGAACCAGCCAAGUCGCGUGAGGGAAGACGGUCCUACGGAUUGUACACCUCUUUUGUCAGGGAGCAAGGAGCGCCACGAGUGGUGCGGCUAGAGUAACUGAAGAAAAAGCAUCGGCUAACUCCGUGCCAGCAGCCGCGGUAAUACGGAGGAUGCGAGCGUUAUCCGGCUUUAUUGGGUUUAAGGGGUGCGCAGGCGGAAGCGGCAAGUCAGCGGUAAAAUGGCGGGGCUCAACCUCGCCGAGCCGUUGAAACUGCUCUUAUAGAGUGGGCGAGAAGUAUGCGGAAUGCGUGGUGUAGCGGUGAAAUGCAUAGAUAUCACGCAGAACUCCGAUUGCGAAGGCAGCAUACCGGCGCCCAACUGACGCUCAUGCACGAAAGCGUGGGUAUCGAACAGGAUUAGAUACCCUUGUAGUC
rnacentral:rRNA from 1 species